rnacentral:rRNA from 1 species
CGACCCUGCUUCCAAGAAAAGCCACUAAGCUUCAGCUUGUAAUUGACCGUACCGUAAACCGACACUGGUGCGCGAGAUGAGUAUUCUAAGGCGCUUGAGAGAACUCUGGAGUAGGAACUCGGCAAAUUGACACCGUAACUUCGGAAGAAGGUGUGCCUUUAGUAGGUGAACCAUUUACUUGGGGAGCCCAAUGAGGCCGCAGAGAAUCGGUGGCUGCAACUGUUUAUUAAAAACACAGCACUCUGCAAAGACGAAAGUCGACGUAUAGGGUGUGACUCCUGCCCGGUGCUGGAAGAUUAAAUGAUGGGGUGCAAGCUCUUGACUGAAGUCCCAGUAAACGGCGGCCGUAACAAUAACGGUCCUAAGGUAGCGAAAUUCCUUGUCGGGUAAGUUCCGACCUGCACGAAUGGAGUAAUGAUGGCCACACUGUCUCCUCCAGAGACUCAGCGAAGUUGAAAUGUUUGUGAUGAUGCAAUCUCCCCGCGGAAAGACGGAAAGACCCCAUGAACCUUUACUGUAGCUUUACAUUGGACUUUGAACAGAUCUGUGUAGGAUAGGUGGGAGGCUUUGAAGAGUGGACGCUAGUUUGCUUGGAGCCAACGUUGAAAUACCACCCUGGUGUGUUUGAGGUUCUAACCUUGGUCCCUUAUCGGGAUUGGGGACAGUGUAUGGUGGGCAGUUUAACUGGGGCGGUCUCCUCCCAAAGUGUAACGGAGGAGUUCGAAGGUACGCUAAAUACGGUCGGAAAUCGUGUUGAUAGUGCAUUGGCAUAAGCGUGCUUGACUGCGAGACUGACAAGUCGAGCAGGUACGAAAGUAGGACAAAGUGAUCCGGUGGUUCUGUAUGGAAGGGCCAUCGUUCAACGGAUAAAAGGUACUCUGGGGAUAACAGGCUGAUACCGCCCAAGAGUUCAUAUCGACGGCGGUGUUUGGCACCUCGAUGUCGGCUCAUCUCAUCCUGGGGCUGUAGCCGGUCCCAAGGGUAUGGCUGUUCGCCAUUUAAAGAGGUACGUGAGCUGGGUUUAAAACGUCGUGAGACAGUUUGGUCCCUAUCUUCCGUGGGCGCUGCAAGAUUGAGAGAGCCUGCUCCUAGUACGAGAGGACCGGAGUGGACGCACCUCUGGUGUAUCGGUUGUCACGCCAGUGGCAUCGCCGAGUAGCUAAGUGCGGAAGAGAUAACCGCUGAAAGCAUCUAAGCGGGAAACUCGUCUCAAGAUGAGUCUUGCCGGGGCCUAGAGCCCCCUGAAGGGUCGUUUGAGACCAG